rnacentral:antisense_RNA from 1 species
CUUGACCGAUCCCAGCCACAACGGGGGUUGAUCCGGGGCACGCCCCUGCCCGUAGGUGGCCAGCAGUGCUUGCGCCUC